AGCUUGCUUUAACUCAUGUCCAUCGAGUCAAUGAUGCCAUCGGAACACCUCAUUUAGUUUGCUCUUGAUUCACAAAAGAAGAAGAUGACUUAUGCUCCACCUCCCCUGAGUCAAGAAGUGCCAAGGAGUUCUUCACUUCUGUAGUUGGUAGGACUUCUGCAAACCACAAGCUCUGGAAAAAAGCAUAGGAACCAUAAAGAGGACUGGUCCUGAAAAGCACUGUGAAAUAAGCAGGAUAAUUAAGUAAAAGGAAGACCAGUUCUCAGUUUAAGGCUUUGGUCUCAUCUCCAAUCACAGAGAAUUCAGAGGAACUAACACAUGAAUUCCAAAGAAGCAGACUUCAUUUAGGUGACUACUGGGAAGAAAUUGUUAAUGCUACUGCUAAGCUGCUUCAGUCGUGUCUGACUCUGUGUGACCCCAUAGAUGGCAGCCCACCAGGCUCCCCUGUCCCUGGGAUUCUUCAGGCAAGA